rnacentral:rRNA from 1 species
UAGGGAAUCUUCGGCAAUGGGGGGAACCCUGACCGAGCAACGCCGCGUGAGUGAAGAAGGUUUUCGGAUCGUAAAGCUCUGUUGUUAAGGAAGUACGAGUGUGAGAAUGGAAAGUUCAUGCUGUGACGGUACUUAACCAGAAAGGGACGGCUAACUACGUGCCAGCAGCCGCGGUAAUACGUAGGUCCCGAGCGUUGUCCGGAUUUAUUAGGCGUAAAGCGAGCGCAGGCGGUUAGAAAAGUCUGAAGUGAAAGGCAGUGGCUCAACCAUUGUAGGCUUUGGAAACUGUUUAACUUGAGUGCAGAAGGGGAGAGUGGAAUUCCAUGUGUAGCGGUGAAAUGCGUAGAUAUAUGGAGGAACACCGGUGGCGAAAGCGGCUCUCUGGUCUGUAACUGACGCUGAGGCUCGAAAGCGUGGGGAGCGAACAGG